GAGUUUGAUCCUGGCUCAGGAUGAACGCUGGCGGCGUGCCUAAUACAUGCAAGUCGAGCGAACAGACGAGGAGCUUGCUCCUCUGACGUUAGCGGCGGACGGGUGAGUAACACGUGGAUAACCUACCUAUAAGACUGGGAUAACUUCGGGAAACCGGAGCUAAUACCGGAUAAUAUAUUGAACCGCAUGGUUCAAUAGUGAAAGACGGUUUUGCUGUCACUUAUAGAUGGAUCCGCGCCGCAUUAGCUAGUUGGUAAGGUAACGGCUUACCAAGGCAACGAUGCGUAGCCGACCUGAGAGGGUGAUCGGCCACACUGGAACUGAGACACGGUCCAGACUCCUACGGGAGGCAGCAGUAGGGAAUCUUCCGCAAUGGGCGAAAGCCUGACGGAGCAACGCCGCGUGAGUGAUGAAGGUCUUCGGAUCGUAAAACUCUGUUAUUAGGGAAGAACAAAUGUGUAAGUAACUAUGCACGUCUUGACGGUACCUAAUCAGAAA
rnacentral:rRNA from 1 species